CUCGGGGUAGCUCAGUUGGUAGAGCGGAGGACUGUAGUUCCUUAGGCCAGGUGUUCAAUUCACCUUCCCGAGA
rnacentral:tRNA from 1 species